AGGUUUGGGCCAUUGCAGAUUCUAAGCGUCCAAGAUUUUUAGGCUUUAACGAGUUCAUCACUGCUAUGCAGUUGCUCUCUCUGGCACAAGCUGGAUAUGACAUAACUGCAGAUUUACUUAGAACUACAGAUGAUGUUGAGCUUUUGGAACCUCCAGUGAUGGAAGGUUUGGAUUUGCUUUUGGCGAAGUAUAAUGGUUCAAGAAACAAUGGUGUCCCUGAAACAAACGUU